rnacentral:lncRNA from 1 species
GAAUACUUCCACCACCUGGCCACUGAGCCGGAAUCAUUUCAUGAUAAUGAUGACGAUCGUGAUCACGCUGGAGUUGGCUAAGGCGAUAAAUACAAUAGGAAGAAGGAGUGGAGGAGGGUUAAGAUUGGAACUCCCUUGGGUGCCAAGCACUGCAGACAUUUGCCAACAGUGAAUGGCUUUCUUAAUAACUGCCCAGGAGACUGUGAGGGGAAACCUCCGAAGCCGUAGGCGGAUGGUCAGUGU